rnacentral:rRNA from 1 species
GAUGAACUCUGGCCGCGUGCCUAAUACAUGCAAGUCGAGCGAACGUACGAGGAGCUUGCUUCUCUGAUCUUAUCGCCGUACGGGCGAGUAACACGUGGAGACCCUACCCAUAAGACUGGGAUAACUUCGUGAAACCGUUGCUCAUCCCGGUGAAUCUUUUGAUCCGCAUGGUUCAAAAGUGAAAGACGGUCUUGCUGUCACUUCUAGAUAGAUCCGCGUUGCAUUAGCUAGUUGUUAAGGUAACGGCUUACCAAGGCAACGAUGCAUAGCCGACCUCAAAGGGUGAUGUGCCCACUACGACCUGACACACGGUCCAGACUCCUAAGAGCGACACCAGUAGCCAAUAAAACGCAGUGCGCGAAAGCCUGACGGAGCAACGCCGCGUGAGUCAUGAAGGUCUCCGGAUCGUAAAACUCUGUUAUUAGGGAAGAACAUCUGUGUAAGCAACUGUGCACAUCUUGAAGGUACCUAAUCAGAAAGCCACGGCUCCCCACGUG